UACGUAGGGUGCAAGCGUUGUCCGGAAUUAUUGGGCGUAAAGAGCUCGUAGGCGGCCUGUCGCGUCGGCUGUGAAAACCCAGGGCUCAACCCUGGGCCUGCAGUCGAUACGGGCAGGCUAGAGUCCGGCAGGGGAGACUGGAAUUCCUGGUGUAGCGGUGAAAUGCGCAGAUAUCAGGAGGAACACCGGUGGCGAAGGCAGGUCUCUGGGCCACUACUGACGCUGAGAAGCGAAAGCAUGGGGAGCGAACAGG
rnacentral:rRNA from 1 species